AACGAACGCUGGCGGCAUGCCUAACACAUGCAAGUCGAACGAGACCUUCGGGUCUAGUGGCGCACGGGUGCGUAACGCGUGGGAAUUUGCCUCGGGGUACGGAAUAACUCAGGGAAACUUGAGCUAAUACCGUAUGAUGUCUUCGGACCAAAGAUUUAUCGCCCUGAGAUAAGCCCGCGUAGGAUUAGCUAGUUGGUGAGGUAAGAGCUCACCAAGGCGACGAUCCUUAGCUGGUCUGAGAGGAUGAUCAGCCACACUGGGACUGAGACACGGCCCAGACUCCUACGGGAGGCAGCAGUGGGGAAUAUUGGACAAUGGGCGAAAGCCUGAUCCAGCAAUGCCGCGUGAGUGAUGAAGGCCUUAGGGUUGUAAAGCUCUUUUACCCGGGAUGAU
rnacentral:rRNA from 1 species